rnacentral:rRNA from 1 species
GGGGGGACGGAGAAGGCUAUGUUGGCCGGGCGACGGUUGUCCCGGUUUAAGCGUGUAGGCUGGUUUUCCAGGCAAAUCCGGAAAACCAAGGCUGAGGCGUGAUGACGAGGCACUACGGUGCUGAAGCGACAAAUGCCCUGCUUCCAGGAAAAGCCUCUAAGCAUCAGGUAACAUCAAAUCGUACCCCAAACCGACACAGGUGGUCAGGUAGAGAAUACCAAGGCGCUUGAGAGAACUCGGGUGAAGGAACUAGGCAAAAUGGUGCCGUAACUUCGGGAGAAGGCACGCUGAUAUGUAGGUGAAGCGACUUGCUCGUGGAGCUGAAAUCAGUCGAAGAUACCAGCUGGCUGCAACUGUUUAUUAAAAACACAGCACUGUGCAAACACGAAAGUGGACGUAUACGGUGUGACGCCUGCCCGGUGCCGGAAGGUUAAUUG